CGCCAGGCGCCAUUUUGCAAAGCUCUGCAGUUGACGGAUCUCCAGGCCCCUGGGGCAUCUGCCCUCGACAGCCCCUUCCACUCCAGGGGCCACCUGCAUGAGCCCUGGCAGGGAAGGGAGUCUUGGGCAUUUCCCUGGCAGGACCUGGGCCUUAUCUGACUUUGGCAUUUGUUGCUGAAGACCUAUACUUCAGCAAGGGCCCCGGUGAUGCCUGGGCACCCCAGCUGCCCCCCGUCCCAGUUCUCCAACCCGCUGUGGUACUCUUGGGGCUGUGGGGCCUCCCUGGCCAGGGCCAGACUGCUUCCAGGAAGGUGAAGGAAAAAGGAGUUUCUCCUUGGAGAAGAAAAUUGAGUGGAACAUUUGUAUCUUUUUUCCCUGGGUUUGCAAGAUGUGAUUCAUGGAGUCAGCUCUCAAUAAAACCCGUAACUGAAUGGACAGAUAUCUGAAGAUAAGUUCAAAGGAGGAGUACGGAGAAGUAAAG
rnacentral:lncRNA from 1 species